rnacentral:tRNA from 1 species
GCAUCUUUAGCUCAGUUGGACGAGCAUUGGCCUUCUAAGCCAUGGACAUAGGUUCGAAUCCUAUAAGAUGUA